UCGCCAGACUCCUACGGGAGGCAGCAGUGGGGAAUAUUGCGCAAUGGGGGAAACCCUGAUGCAGCGACGCCGCGUGAGCGAAGAAGUAUUUCGGUAUGUAAAUCUCUAUCAGCAGGGAAGAAAUUGACGGUACCUGAGUAAGAAGCUCCGGCUAAAUACGUGCCAGCAGCCGCGGUAAUACGUAUGGAGCAAGCGUUAUCCGGAUUUACUGGGUGUAAAGGGAGCGUAGGCGGCCUGCCAAGUCUGAUGUGAAAUGCCGGGGCUCAACCCCGGGGCUGCAUUGGAAACUGACAGGCUGGAGUGUCGGAGAGGCAGGCGGAAUUCCUAGUGUAGCGGUGAAAUGCGUAGAUAUUAGGAGGAACACCAGUGGCGAAGGCGGCCUGCUGGACGAUGACUGACGCUGAGGCUCGAAAGCGUGGGGAGCAAACAGGAUUAGAUACCCUAGUAA
rnacentral:rRNA from 1 species